UGCAAGUCGAGCGGAUGAGAGGAGCUUGCUCCUCGAUUCAGCGGCGGACGGGUGAGUAAUGCCUAGGAAUCUGCCUAGUAGUGGGGGACAACGUUUCGAAAGGAACGCUAAUACCGCAUACGUCCUACGGGAGAAAGUGGGGGAUCUUCGGACCUCACGCUAUUAGAUGAGCCUAGGUCGGAUUAGCUAGUUGGUAGGGUAAAGGCCUACCAAGGCGACGAUCCGUAACUGGUCUGAGAGGAUGAUCAGUCACACUGGAACUGAGACACGGUCCAGACUCCUACGGGAGGCAGCAGUGGGGAAUAUUGGACAAUGGGCGAAAGCCUGAUCCAGCCAUGCCGCGUGUGUGAAGAAGGCCCUCGGGUCGUAAAGCACUUUAAGUUGGGAGGAAGGGCUUACAGCGAAUACCUGUGAGUUUUGACGUUACCGACAGAAUAAGCACCGGCUAACUUCGUGCCAGCAGCCGCGGUAAUACGAAGGGUGCAAGCGUUAAUCGGAAUUACUGGGCGUAAAGCGCGCGUAGGUGGCUUGAUAAGUUGGAUGUGAAAUCCCCGGGCUCAACCUGGGAACUGCAUCCAAAACUGUCUGGCUAGAGUGUGGUAGAGGGUAGUGGAAUUUCCAGUGUAGCGGUGAAAUGCGUAGAUAUUGGAAGGAACACCAGUGGCGAAGGCGACUACCUGGACUAACACUGACACUGAGGUGCGAAAGCGUGGGGAGCAAACAGGAUUAGAUACCCUGGUAGUCCACGCCGUAAACGAUGUCAACUAGCCGUUGGGAUCCUUGAGAUCUUAGUGGCGCAGCUAACGCAUUAAGUUGACCGCCUGGGGAGUACGGCCGCAAGGUUAAAACUCAAAUGAAUUGAC
rnacentral:rRNA from 1 species